GAGUUUGAUCAUGGCUCAGAUUGAACGCUGGCGGCAGACCUAACACAUGCAAGUCGAGCGGUAGAGAGAAGCUUGCUUCUCUUGAGAGCGGCGGACGGGUGAGUAAUGCCUAGGAAUCUGCCUGGUAGUGGGGGAUAACGCUCGGAAACGGACGCUAAUACCGCAUACGUCCUACGGGAGAAAGCAGGGGACCUUCGGGCCUUGCGCUAUCAGAUGAGCCUAGGUCGGAUUAGCUAGUUGGUGAGGUAAUGGCUCACCAAGGCGACGAUCCGUAACUGGUCUGAGAGGAUGAUCAGUCACACUGGAACUGAGACACGGUCCAGACUCCUACGGGAGGCAGCAGUGGGGAAUAUUGGACAAUGGGCGAAAGCCUGAUCCAGCCAUGCCGCGUGUAUGAAGAAGGUCUUCGGAUUGUAAAGCACUUUAAGUUGGGAGGAGGGCAGUAAAUUAAUACUUUGCUGUUUUGACGUUACCGACAGAAUAAGCACCGGCUAACUCUGUGCCAG
rnacentral:rRNA from 1 species